rnacentral:lncRNA from 1 species
AGGCUCUUAAACCAUGUGCUAACUCUCCCCUUAGUUUUGAAUUUACACCCCAAAAGGCCAACACUAUUUGAAACUUAGAAGGCUCAACGAUGAUGAACCAACGGCUCCUAAAACUCAAGGAUUCUUGAUUUCGUCUUCAUAACUUUGCCUUUCCUCUUGGAGAAGAACUUCACAGUGGGAAUAUAACCUAUCAGCCAAAGGUGGA